rnacentral:rRNA from 1 species
GACAGCAGCAGCCACGGUAAUACGGAGGGUGCAAGCGUUAAUCGGAAUUACUGGGCGUAAAGCGCACGCAGGCGGUCUGACAAGUCAGAUGUGAAAUCCCCGGGCUUAACCUGGGAACUGCAUUUGAAACUGUCAGGCUGGAGUCUUGUAGAGGGGGGUAGAAUUCCAGGUGUAGCGGUGAAAUGCGUAGAGAUCUGGAGGAAUACCGGUGGCGAAGGCGGCCCCCUGGACAAAGACUGACGCUCAGGUGCGAAAGCGUGGGGAGCAAACAGGAUUAGAUACCCCGGUAGUCCCUGUCUCUUAUAA